rnacentral:lncRNA from 1 species
UAUUAAAAUAUAGUAUCCAUGCUCAGAUUAAAUUCCAUGAGAUUUAAUUUUCAAAGUUCGUAGUAAUACUACUCACAAAACCAUAACAAUUUAUAAACUACAAACAUUCAUUUACUUGGUUCGCAACAUUGACAAUGCAGAACAUUGAACAAUGUAGCAAUAAACUAAUUACAAUAAACAUGAACAAUGUAAAUACAGAGUGCAAUACUAUUACUCUUGGUACUGGAAAAGUAACUAGACGACUUUAUCGACUUCAACGGAAUUAAUUAGACAUGCUCAUUUCCUUUUGAAUUCUCUUCAUUACACCGUUUUCCAUUGCGAAAUGUCACGUUCAAUGAAAUAUCGAUGCCCGUUUCUUGGAUACACGACCUAGCAUUUAAUCUUAAAUGCUUCAUUCGUCGGAGUCUAAUAAUUCAUUUUUGAUUCUCCUAUCACAGUCCAGUCGAAAUAGCCACAGUCAUUACUGCAAGUUUGGAAUAACCGUCCUUUGUUACUGGUUUUUUUUUUUUCAACUUCAAAACAUUUCUGAUAUCCAGUUACACACUGCGGAUAGCUAAGUUUUCUCGGACAUUCAUCGAAGUAGUGCGACAAGCUUCUACAACUGUGACACAUUCCAAAAUUCCUUCCUCACGUCUUGAGAUUGGACACAACCACAUAAUUCAAUUGUCAAUAUUCCACCAUUAAAAUAAGAGCAACAACUCAGAAGAAUCUCAUAUGAGUGAGCAUAAUGUUUAUUCUAAUACAUAAGGAGAUUGGUGUGAGCUCAAAAGACAUUAAAUUAUUUCAAUAGAUGCAAAUGCAUUCUAUUAUCUAUUUCUAGUCAACCAGAAAAGAGGAACAUUGACCAGUAUUCAUCGUUAACAAUCGAUGUGUUUGUAACUUGUAUAACCAUCCACGUACUGAUUGUGAACUAAUUGUUCAAACAAGAUCAAAAACUCCACAACCACUAUACUCAAUUUAAAUUCCAUGGAAAACUUCCCAAUUCAUUUAGAUACUAUAGGCCACAUUUCUAAACAGUGCACAUUGAGAAUAUGUGACAUAAGGUAUGAAGAGUGUUCAUACUCACUGACAGGAAACUAAAAUGCAUCGAACUGUACAUCAAAUAACACAAUAACUCAAAAAUAAACACUCAGUAUAGCUCAAGAAAAGAAAGAACUUCCACUAAAAGCAUCACGCCACUUAUAUUAAAUCGGUAACCGAUUUCUAACAUAUCCGAUAAGAUAGUUCAAGAAGUGAAAAUCCAUGGAAGAAAUCCAAUAAACCCUGCAAUAUUCUAAUUUAAACAGAAUACAAAAUUACACUAUAACAAUAAAUAAAUGACUCUAAAUUCUAAAGAUGAAUUCAAAAACACAUGUGAAAUGCGAAAGUCCUCGUCAAGAAAAUGCAAAUCCACUGGAAUCCUACAGUUAACAAAAUUUCUUUUAUAACAUUUUAUGUAAAGAAAGAAAUUAAUAUAUAAAUCAACCAGAAAAUGAACCACACAAGCAAAAAAGAGCAUUAUGUUUGCCUUCAACAUUAUCUUUUUCCGUGAUUGGCCUAAUAGAUUUUAGCAAACAAAUCUAGAAGAGGAUUGAGAUCCAGGUGCACAAUGGUAGCAAUUAAUGGAAUUAUUGUCUCAAGACUUCAACUGCAGCUGCAAACUACGUAAUUUCCAUCUCGUGACGCAGAAAUUGGAAAUUAAAAAUUGCACAACACUAAAGAAAAUUAGAAGAAUGUGGCUCACGUGGGCUAUAUGCCUGAGCAUUCGCAAUUUUAGUCGUAAUAAGAAGUCGAGAUGGAGUUUUUAGGGUAAAGUAACUCGGGGGAAGAGAGUUUUCAGGCCUUUCCAACACCGGAGAUUGAAGCUAUAUGGUCGGGCUACGUGUGAUAAAUGAGACCACACAUUUUUUGCGAAUUCCCUCGGAAGAACCGGAGAUGUUUCUUGCGCAAAAUGGAUUUUUUUUCCUCCAUCUCUUCCCUCCCACUUCUGUCAAUUUUACUAUGAGUAGAGGUGGGGACAUUUUGGGUUAAAAUGGGUUUCUCAUUUAUACCAUUAUUUUAGUCUUUUUU